rnacentral:lncRNA from 1 species
ACUUUUGAAUUGAAAAGGAUAUUCUAAGUUAGAAGUCAUUCAGAAUGUUCACCAACUUUUAAUAAUUUUUGCCAUCACUCUAUUUGCUUAUUUGCAAAUUAACAUGUAAGAAUGAGUCUAAAAGUAUAACUGAGGAAUAGUCUUCCAGUAAAAUGUUACUUUUUUUCCUAAUUACUAAUGCUGUGAAAUGAUUUUAAAAACUGGGAUCUUCUAUAACUAUUUGUAUGUGGGUGGUGGUGUUUAAGACUAUUUACCAGUUAUGAACUUCUCAAACUACUAUGAUUAUAGAACGAGUAAAAUAAUACUUGGUGAAAGUCUGUUCUAUGGCACUAAAAAGCAGUUAAUAGUGUGUGUGCAUACACAUUUCUGCAUGAGCAUAGCCACAGAAGCUUACAAGUCUCCCAGUGGCAAGUAUAUACGUAAGACUGUAUGCUUUUCAGAGAAGUACACAGUACACACUUAAAGACUUGGUGUUUUGAAAAUUGACCUCCAAAUUUCUGAGUUCGAGGCCAGCCUGGUCUACAGAGUGAGUUCCAGGACAGCCAGGGCUAUACAGAGAAACCCUGUCCCGAAAAACAAACAAACAAAAAACUUUUAAAAAAUUGACCUCCAAAUAAUAUACAGAAUAAUAGUAAGAAUUCUCUAGGAAGUAGUUAUUAAUAGCACCUACAACAGUCCCCUAAACAAGGGGCAAGAAGAAAAUUUAAUUUACAAGGUGAGUGUUGUGUGUGCGUGCAUGAGAGAGAGACAGAGAGAUAGAGACAGAGAGAGAGAGAUAGGUGAACCCAGGGGCCUAAGCAUGCUAAGCCCCUAGCCUGAGGUCUGUAUUAGCACAGUAUGCAUAUAAUCCAAAAGUUAAAAUAAGUGGGAAUCUAGAAAGGGAUUAAACUCUCUGAAUACUUCUAGUUUUCAACUUACUAUUUGCUACAUUUUAAAAAUUGUUAAAUUAUCGAAAAUCGAGAUAGGCAGGCAAAUGGCUCUGUGGAUUAAGACACUUGUCACCAAACCUGACUACCUAGGUUCCAUUUCCAGAACCCACAUAGGGGAAAGAGAGAACCCACUCCCAUAGAUUGUCCUUUGAUCUCCUCUUUUGUGUGCCCCCCCACUCCAAUAAGUAAAUAUGAUUUUAAAUUUUUCUUUAAAAAUUUAAAAGCAAGUGUUUAUUUUCUUAUUAUAAAUACAAAUAUUGACUAUUUAGAUUAUUUUAUUAUGCUCCCAAAAUUAAGAUUUUAUUCUUUUACCUAUCAAAUAAAUACUAUCAAAAUCGAUUUUUCUGUUCUC